rnacentral:lncRNA from 10 species
CCACAGUCGGAAGCUGUUUCCAUCCUUGGGAGAGGAAGCAGAGCUGAGGAAGGCAGCCACUGCCCACCCAUGGCUAAGCAGGGAGAAAUGAAUACCUCAACCUCACUUUCCCCCUACCCCAAGUCUCCCAGCAAGUCUCCUACCAGAAGGCAGAGGGCAGGGCAGCUCUUUGACACAAUCCACAAAGAUCAGCCCUUCUGGAGCUCAGAGCUAUUACAGAGAAGCCUGGAGAGUGUGUCAAGACAGGUGCUCCAUUAUGCCUGAAAGGUUAACUUCACCACCAAAGCCCAAGAAGAGGUUUUCUUCGCCAAAGAUGGGGAAGUGCUGACAACGUUUGACAUUAAAAACAUCUAUGUUCUCCCAGACCUGUCAGGACAGACAGCCAUUGUUGGACACUUUGACUUCAGAGCACCUUCUGGAAAAGAGCUUCUGUUGGAUGACAGCGCAAUUGUCUGGGCAGAAGGACCCUUAAAGAUUAGAGCUGAGAGAACCCUAAGAACCAAGACCACACAGCACCUCUCACAUCCCAAGCUCCAGGAGAAUCGCUUGAACCCGGGAGGCGGAGGUUGCAGUGAGCCAAGAUUGUGCCACUGAACUCCAGCCUGGGUGACAGAGUGAGGUCCUGUCUCAAAAAAACAAACAAACAAAAAAUACAUAUUAUUACUACAACUUGAGUAUCCCUUAUCCGAAUUGCUUGGGACCAGAAGUGUUUUGGAUUUCAGAUUUUUUCAGAUUUUGAAAUAUUUGCAUAUGCAUAAGGAAAUAUCUUGGGGAUAGGAUCCAAGUCUAAAUAUGAAAUUCAUUUAUGUUUCAUAUACCACUUAUACACAUAGUCUGAAGGUAAUUUUUUACAAUAUUUUUAACUAUAUCAUGCAUGAAACAAAGUUUGUUUAUGUCAAGUCAGGUGUGGAAUUUUCCACUUGAGGCAUCAUGUUGGCACUCAAAAAGUUUUGGAUUUUGGAGCAUUCCAGAUUUCAGAUUUUCAAAUUAGGGAUGCCCCAUCUAUAUCUCCAUUUUAUUGAAGAGGAAUCUGAAGCUUAGAGAUGUUAAGCCCAAGGCACGCAAACCAUAAAGGGCAGAACCAGAAUUCCAACCAUCAAGAUGUCUUGUUUUCCCACCACACUCGAAAUCCGGAAGAGCUUAUUCUUACCUAUCACUGUUUCCCUAACACCCUGUACAGUACCUGAUAUACGGAACACAUUUUUAAUUAUCUGAGCAAGAAAUGGAGAAAGAGGAAAAUGAAAGAGAGUAGAAAAGGAAAACGUGAUAAAGAGGGGUUUAAUAAAGGAAGGAGUAAGAGAAAGAAAGAGAGAGAGGGACCUAGUAAGUGAAAACGAUGAGGCUUAUUCCUCCACGACCUGACUGCACAGAUGUCGCUCAAUUCCCCCUGCAGUCUCCCCAGCACUCUCUCCCCUCCACUCUCCCACCUCUUGUGUGUAGGUCCCUUCCUCUGUCUGCAACGAAAAACGUCCUGUGGAAACCAGGAAGUCAACCCUAUUUGAGAAGUCAAAAUGCUGCUACAAAAGCCUUCCCUGACCCAGAAGAGAAAUCGCAAUGUCACCAGGUAAGGAGGGAGGCUGGUUCUUGGUCAGAGGGUGGCCAGCCAUCAGCCAGAGUAGACUUCAGAUGAAAGCUGUGUCCACAUCAAGGAAAUUCCUUCAAUGGAAAAGUCCAGGGAAGUCGAGACCAAAAAGAAGAUGUCAAUGUGACCUUCCUAGAUGCUACAUUAAAGCCAUUUGAGGCUAUUAAAUUCAUUCUUUCUUUUAUCAACCAUGAGUUUGUUCAAAUCCUGUACUUAGUUUAACAUUUGCCAUAUGGUAGGCAUUUCAUAAAUGUUUAAAAAGAAUUACCCUAAUGACAUAAUCUUUAUUUUACUAAGAUGUCAUUCAUUCAACAGAUAUCAACUGGCACCAACCAUAUACAACCACUGUGCUGGGUGCAAGGGUACCAACAACAAAUAAGCCAUGGUCCUGGACCCACAGAGCUCAGGAUAUAUUAAAAGAGAAUGAUACUGGACCCCUACACCUAGCACAGCUCAUCUCUCAAUAAAGAAACUAGACUAUAAAGUGAAGUCAAUACUGUAAUAAAUAAAUAAAUAUUCAAGCAUCGAGCUGUGAAAGCACGUUGGAACAAUUAAUUCUAACAAAUAGGCAGGGAGACUUGGCAAUGCAAGGGGUGGCAUGUGACACAGGCCUUAAACAACAAGCAAGGUUUCAAAGGCAAUGAAGCAUAAUAAGGAUAUUCCAGGCCAAGGAGGAAGUUAUUAUAGUAAAGGCAUGAAAGCAAUAAGGAGCUGAGAGUGGUUUCAGCAUCAAUUGUGAUGCAAGAUAUAGGAAGCAGGUGGUCAGAUCAUAGAGGACUUUACCUGCUGGACUCUGGAGCAUGGACUCUAUUCUAUAGAAAAUGGGGAGGAGCCUCUGAACUACUUCAGUAUAAAAGCAAUGUGUAUUUCAGUGUGUGUCUUGGGGAAAUGAAUAGACAAAUAGACAAAGGAGGGAGAUUGGAGCAGGAAGACCAGGUUCAGAAUCCAGGUAAUUGUUGAAGCCACAGGUUUGGAUGAAGUCUCUUCAAAACUCUCCCUGGGAAAGUAGAGACUUUGGAAAUACCUUUUGCCCUUUUGAAGAGAAAGUUUCCACCGAAUGAAGCUGAGAAGGAACCACCAGGUGCUGAAGAGAGGAUGACACAAAUGAGAAAUCCUUGAACUUAGACACUAGGAAGACAUGGAAUCAAAGUAUCUAGGACCCUACAAAUAUAUCCAAAUCAAGGAAAGAGAUCAAAUUGUCCCUAUUUGCAGACGACAU